UACAUUCAAAGAGUGCGUAAUAGCUCACUAGUCGAGAGGUCCUGCGCCGAAAAUGAACCGGGGCUAAACACGACACCGAAGCUCAGGAAUCCGAAAGGAUUGGUAGAGGAGCAUUGCUGAAGCGACGAAGCAGUACCGAAAGGAGCUGUGGAGUUUCAGGAAGAGAGAAUGCCGGAAUGAGUAGCGAGAGAAAGGUGAGAAUCCUUUCGGCCGAAUAUCCAAGGUUUCCAGGGUAAAGCUGAUCUGCCCUGGGUAAGUCGGGGCCUAAGGCGAGGCAGAAAUGCGUAGUCGAUGGACAGCAGGUUGAGAUUCCUGCACCCGUAAUGAACAGAACUGUAGUGACACGGAAGGUAAGACAGAGCCGGGAAUGAGAAAACCGGUGCAAGCACAAUAGAUGUGCGGGAGGAAAAACCCCCGCAUAAGUCGAAGGUGUGAUGCGGACCGAAAAAGAGUAGGGAAGCUGUUAAGCAAGCCGUCAAGAAAAGCUGCUAUUGUUUCAUUAUGGCCCGUACCGUAAACCGACACAGGUGGAUGAGGAGAGAAUCCUAAGGCCGGCGGAAGAAGUAUUGUUAAGGAACUCGGCAAAAUGACCCCGUAACUUCGGGAGAAGGGGUGCCUGCGAGAGCAGGCCGCAGAGAAUAGGCUCAAGCAACUGUUUAGCAAAAACACAGGUCUAUGCGAAACCGAAAGGUGAGGUAUAUGGGCUGACGCCUGCCCGGUGCUGGAAGGUUAAGGGGAGUGGUCAGGAAACGAAGCCACGAACUUAAGCCCCAGUAAACGGCGGCCGUAACUAUAACGGUCCUAAGGUAGCGAAAUUCCUUGUCGGGUAAGUUCCGACCCGCACGAAAGGCGUAAUGAUUUGAGCGCUGUCUCGACAAUGCAUCCGGUGAAAUUGAAGUACCAGUGAAGAUGCUGGUUACCUGCGCCAGGACGGAAAGACCCCAUGGAGCUUUACUCCAGCUUGAUACUGGGACCCGGUAUUGCAUGUACAGGAUAGGUGGGAGGCAGAGAGAUGUGGACGCCAGUCUGCAUGGAGCCGCUGUUGGGAUACCACCCUUGUGGUGCUGGGUUUCUAACCAGAGGCCGUGAACCGGUCUGGGGACAAUGUCAGGUGGGGAGUUUGACUGGGGCGGUCGCCUCCGAAAGGGUAUCGGAGGCGCCCAAAGGUUCCCUCAGAAUGGUUGGAAACCAUUCGAAGAGUGCAAAGGCAGAAGGG
rnacentral:rRNA from 1 species